rnacentral:tRNA from 1 species
UCCUCUGUGGCGCAAUUGGCUAGCGCGUCUGACUGUUAAUCCUACAUCAAUCAGUCCGUCACCCUCACUCGUUCUGAAAACGAAAGAAAAUACUAACAAUUCGUAGGGAGGUUGGUGGUUCAAGCCCACCCGGAGGAG